UGUUCUGUGGCUUAGUUGUUUAAAGCGCCGGUCUAGCGAAUACGGAGUCGUGGGUUAGGAUUCCACCAGAACGC
rnacentral:tRNA from 1 species